AGAGACCCACGCUUGAGGAACCUGGUUCGAGCCUCAGGCCAGUACCUGAAAGGAGGAAGCUUCACAAGUGGUGGAACAAUACUGCACGAGUCUCUUUUUCUCCCUGUGUCUUGCUAAUCUGUCUUACCUUUGCUUUGUACUUUCUCUGAUGCAGAUCUGGGUAGAGCCAUUUCCUGUCUGAAACCCAGAGUUGGGAAGGGAACGGGAAGGGUAUCACAACAUGGAAGCUUCUCCCUGUGUGGUGAGAGCUGGGGUCAAGCCUGGGUCACGAUCAGAGCUGAGCAGGUACCAUCACGUGAGCUAGCUUCUCAUUCCUCAUUUGCUUAUUUAUUUGUGAGACUUGCUUA